rnacentral:rRNA from 1 species
GAUGAACGCUGGCGGCGUGCCUAAUACAUGCAAGUCGAGCGAACGGACGAGAAGCUUGCUUUUCUGAUGUUAGCGGCGGACGGGUGAGUAAAACGUGGAUAACCUACCUAUAAAACUGGGAUAACUUCGGGAAACCGGAGCUAAUAGCGUAUAAUAUUUUGAACCGCAUGGUUCAAAAGUGAAAGACGGUCUUGCUGUCACUGAUGGAUGGAUCCGCGCGGCAUUAGCUAGUUGGUAAGGUAACGGCUUACCAAGGCAACGAUGCAUAGCCGACCUGAGAGGGUGAUAGGACACACAGGAACUGAGACACGGUCAGGACUACUAUGGGAGGCAGGACUACCGACCCUCCCGCAACGGGCGGAAGCCUGAAGGAGCAACGCACCGUGACUGAUGACGGUCCCCGCAUCGUUAACCUCCGCUAUCAGGGAAGAACAUAUGUGUAAGUAACAGUGCACACCUCGACGGUACCUAAUCAGAAAGCUACGGCUAACGCCGUG